UUCCAUAACGCGUUUCGUCUAACAGACUUUAUCAAAUGGAAUAUAAUCAUAUUAUAUUCCAUUUGAUAAAGUCUGUUAGACGAAACGCGUUAUGGAA
rnacentral:miRNA from 1 species